UACGUAGGGUGCGAGCGUUGCCCGGAUUUAUUGGGCGUAAAGGGCGCGUAGGCGGCCACGCACGUCCGUUGUGAAAUCGCCCGGCUCAACUGGGCGGGGUCAGCGGAUACGGUGUGGCUCGAGCAAGCUAGGGGGCAAUGGAACUCCCGGUGUAGUGGUGGAAUGCGUAGAUAUCGGGAAGAACACCAGUGGCGAAGGCGGUUGCCUGGAGCUUUGGCUGACGCUGAUGCGCGAAAGCG
rnacentral:rRNA from 1 species